rnacentral:rRNA from 1 species
UACAGAGGGGGCAAGCGUUGUUCGGAAUUACUGGGCGUAAAGGGCGCGUAGGCGGCCUGUUAAGUCGAACGUGAAAUCCCCGGGCUCAACCCGGGAACUGCGUCCGAAACUGGCAGGCUCGAAUUCGGGAGAGGGAUGCGGAAUUCCAGGUGUAGCGGUGAAAUGCGUAGAUAUCUGGAGGAACAUCGGUGGCGAAGGCAGCAUCCUGGACCGAUAUUGACGCUGAGGCGCGAAAGCCAGGGGAGCGAACGGG